rnacentral:rRNA from 1 species
UUAGCGGCGGACGGGUGAGUAACGCGUGGGUAACCUGCCUCAUACAGGGGGAUAACAGUUAGAAAUGACUGCUAAUACCGCAUAAGCGCACAGGACCGCAUGGUCCGGUGUGAAAAACUCCGGUGGUAUGAGAUGGACCCGCGUCUGAUUAGCUGGUUGGCGGGGUAACGGCCCACCAAGGCGACGAUCAGUAGCCGACCUGAGAGGGUGGCCGGCCACAUUGGGACUGAGACACGGCCCAAACUCCUACGGAAGGCAGCAG